CGAGAAGACCCUAUGGAGCUUUAGACACAAAGCAGCCCAAAUUAAACACCCUGAAAUCAAACAGAAAAAUCGAAUGGCCCCCUGCUCAAAUGUCUUUGGUUGGGGCGACCAAGG
rnacentral:rRNA from 1 species